rnacentral:lncRNA from 1 species
UGUGUGUGUGAGUGUAUGUAUAUUAAAAAGAAACUAGAAUGGCUUUUGUCAAAAGACAAAGAAACUAGAGACUCUUGAAACUUGAUUAGAAACAAAAAAAGAAAUUGAUAAGAAUGAAGAAGGCUUCAUUCUUGCCUCUAUAUAUAUUAUUUACUUAAGAUCUAUGUAGCAACAUUUUAUAAGAUUUUUAAAAACGUAUUGACUUUGUAUGACAUGUAUUUUAACUUGCAAGCCAAGUUUCCUAUAUGGAUGCUACAUAGUUAGCUUAUUCCACAAGCUAUCAAUACAUGUAGCACAUGGAUAGCUUGUUGACCAAGUAUCUA